CCAAAUAAUUCUUUAAAAGCAUCUUGUAAUUCUUCAAAAGAGUAAGAAUUAGAAGUGCUUGCCUCUUCUUCUUCGUCGGCCAUGAAGUAUAGAGCAGUUGAUUCAUCACACGAGCUGUCCGAUUCUUGGACUUGAGAUGUACCUUCACAAAUGGCCUCAAGCUUUUCCCACAUAUCUUUGGCAGUUGUGCAGCAGGAAAUUUUCCGAUAGU
rnacentral:lncRNA from 1 species